rnacentral:lncRNA from 1 species
AGCUUCCCAGCCAUCCAUCCGUGCUGUUUUUGAUUAUGCAGAUACAGUAGUAUCCUUAUUGGCUCCAUAUCUAUGUGGCCCCUAGGGGUGCCAAGUUCUAUUCACUCCACAGGUCUCUGUAGGUCAGGCUCCCCUGGCCUCCUCUCUACCCUACCACUCACCACAAUGACAUCUUCCUGCCUUCUGAUGGUGCCAUGGUCUGAAUGUUGGUGUCUCCCCAAAAUUCAUACGUUGAAACCUGACCACCAAUGUGAGGGUAUCAGGAGGUGGGGCCUUUGGAAGGCGAUUGGGUCAUGAAGAUGGAGCCUCAUGAAUGGGACUAGUGCCCUAAUGAAAAGAUGUCCCAGCAUGCUGCCCUGCCUGUUCUACACUCUGAGGACACAGUGAGAAGGCACCAUCUAUGAGCCAGAAAGUGGGCCUUCAGCAGACACCAAAUCUACUUUGAUCUUGGACUUCCCGGCCUCCAGAACUGUUAGAAAUAAAUUUCUUUAUAAGCCA